GUACCUCAGAUGCUAGAAAGAACCGGAUCCAAGGGUUGACGUUGCUGUCCAGCAGUUUAGCAAAGAAAGGCAACUCAGCAGUUUUCGUCCACCUCAUUAUAUAGAUUGCAAGUCAAGAAGACUUUUUUUUUUUUUUGCACGUAUGCUCACGUGUGAGUCAGGCACCAAAAAAAAGUCUCAACAUCUUUUUUACAUCAUGGCGACCAAAACUGGCACUGCAACUGUGGGGAUGCUUCAUAUGGCGGAGGGGCACGCUGCAAUGGUCAUAAGCGCGAGGACCCGUUCAUAAGUUACUUUCUUUGAUGCCAUCACUAAAUGAAUGGUGCCUCCAGAUGACGGGACUUCUAAAUCAUCUUAGGGUCUGUUUCCUGGCUCUUGUCGUCCCUCACCCGGUGCCAAUGGAAAGAGGACACAAUCAACGACAGAACCAACCCUCAACUAAGUCUGGGGACUCUUCAGAUCAGGUGACCCAAGACAGCUAACAACCUUAAAAGCAAUAAUAAAGGGGCUGCCAUAAAGAAGAGGGAGUCAAGCUAUUCUCCAAAGCGCCCGAAGGCAGGACAAGAAGCAACGGAUGGAAACUAAUCAAGGAGAGA